CUACGGGCGGCUGCAGUAGGGAAUAUUGGGCAAUGGGCGCAAGCCUGACCCAGCAACGCCGCGUGCGCGAAGAAGGCCUUCGGGUCGUAAAGCGCUUUUCUGAGGGAUGAGAAAGGACAGUACCUCAGGAAUAAGCCUCGGCUAACUACGUGCCAGCAGCCGCGGUAAAACGUAGGAGGCGAGCGUUAUCCGGAUUUACUGGGCGUAAAGCGUGUGCAGGCGGUCUGGCAAGUUGGAUGUGGAAGCUCCCGGCUCAACUGGGAGAGGUCGUUCAAAACUACCGGACUAGAGGGUAUCAGAGGGAGAUGGAAUUCCCGGUGUAGUGGUGAAAUGCGUAGAUAUCGGGAGGAACACCAGUGGCGAAAGCGAUCUUCUGGGAUACUACUGACGCUCAGACACGAAAGCUAGGGUAGCGAACGGGAUUAGAUACCCGAGUAGUC
rnacentral:rRNA from 1 species